rnacentral:rRNA from 1 species
AGAGCGAACGCUGGCGGCAGGCCUAAUACAUGCAAGUCGAACGAAUCCUUCGGGAUUAGUGGCGGACGGGUGAGUAACACGUGGGAACGUGCCCUUUGGUUCGGAACAACUCAGGGAAACUUGAGCUAAUACCGAAUGUGCCCUUCGGGGGAAAGAUUUAUCGCCAUUGGAGCGGCCCGCGUCUGAUUAGCUAGUUGGUGAGGUAAAGGCUCACCAAGGCUACGAUCAGUAGCUGGUCUGAGAGGAUGAUCAGCCACACUGGGACUGAGACACGGCCCAGACUCCUACGGGAGGCAGCAGUAGGGAAUCUUGCGCAAUGGGCGAAAGCCUGACGCAGCCAUGCCGCGUGAAUGAUGAAGGUCUUAGGAUUGUAAAAUUCUUUCAGCGGGGACGAUAAUGACGGUACCCGCAGAAGAGCCCGGCUAACUUCGCGCCAGCAGCCGC